rnacentral:rRNA from 1 species
AACUCACCUGCCGAAGCAACUAGCCCUGAAAAUGGAUGGCGCUCUAGCGUCGUGCCUAUACCGGGCCGUCAACGGCACAGUGGGCGUCUGCCUUCGGGCAAGAGCCGUUACGCCUUGACGAGUAGGAGGGUCGCGGCGGUGUGCGCAGAAGGGUCUGGGCGUGAGCCCGCCUGGAGCCGCCGUCGGCGCAGAUCUUGGUGGUAGUAGCAAAUACUCUAGCGAGGGCCUGGAGGACUGACGUGGAGAAGGGUUUCUUGUGAACAGCCGUUGCACAAGAGUCAGUCGACCCUAAGCACUAGGAGAAAUCCGAUGUUGAUGGGUGGCUAUACAAAACCACAUUCUGUUUGUUGCGAACGCUCCUCAACGCCCCUCCGCCGUCAGCGCGUAAACCUCUCGCCUGUCCCGCGGCCACGAGGCCAGGGCUAAAGAGAGGCCGCCUGGCGUACCUAGCGGGCCGCGAUGAGUAGAUGGAUGCAGCGUAACAACUGCUCCUGUCGUGCAAAAGGGAAUCCGGUUCCUAUUCCGGAACCCGGCUGCGUAACCGCCACUCUGCGGGCACUCGCCUGCGAGCGCUCGUCGGGGUAACCCAAACUGGCCCGGAGACGCCGGCGGGGGGUCUGGAAAGAGUUUUCUUUUCUUUAUAAGCGUUCGAGUACCCUGGAAUCCUAUAGCAGGGAGAUAGGGUUUGGAACGCGAAGAGCACCGCAGUUGCGGCGGUGUCCGGACUUCCCCCCCGGACCUUGAAAAUCCGGGUGAGGGCUACGCGGAAGUCGCGCCGGAUCGUACCCAUAUCCGCAGCAGGUCUCCAAGGUUAAGAGCCUCUAGUCGAUAGAAUAAUGUANGUAAGGGAAGUCGGCAAA